rnacentral:rRNA from 1 species
UGGGGGAUAUUGCACAAUGGGGGAAACCCUGAUGCAGCGACGCCGCGUGAGGGAAGACGGUUUUCGGACUGUAAACCUCUGUCUUCGGGGACGAUAAUGACGGUACCCGAGGAGGAAGCCACGGCUAACUACGUGCCAGCAGCCGCGGUAAUACGUAGGUGGCAAGCGUUGUCCGGAAUUACUGGGUGUAAAGGGAGCGCAGGCGGGAAGAUAAGUCAAGUGUUAAAUGGAUCGGCUCAACCGGUCUACGCGCUUGAAACUAUUAUUCUUGAGUGAAGUAGAGGUAGGCGGAAUUCCCAGUGUAGCGGUGAAAUGCGUAGAUAUUGGGAGGAACACCAGUGGCGAAGGCGGCCUACUGGACUUUAACUGACGCUGAGGCUCGAAAGUGUGGGGAGCAAACA